AUUGAACGCUGGCGGCAUGCUUUACACAUGCAAGUCGAACGGCAGCGCGGGCUUCGGCCUGGCGGCGAGUGGCGAACGGGUGAGUAAUGCAUCGGAACGUGCCCAGUAGUGGGGGAUAGCCCGGCGAAAGCCGGAUUAAUACCGCAUACGACCUGAGGGUGAAAGCGGGGGACCGAAAGGCCUCGCGCUAUUGGAGCGGCCGAUGUCGGAUUAGCUAGUUGGUGGGGUAAAGGCUUACCAAGGCGACGAUCCGUAGCUGGUCUGAUAGGACGACCAGCCACACUGGGACUGAGACACGGCCCAGACUCCUACGGGAGGCAGCAGUGGGGAAUUUUGGACAAUGGGGGCAACCCUGAUACAGCCAUGCCGCGUGCGGGAAGAAGGCCUUCGGGUUGUAAACCGCUUUUGUUCGGGAAGAAAUCCUCUGGGCUAAUACCCCGGGGGGAUGACGGUACCGGAAGAAUAAGCACCGGCUAACUACGUG
rnacentral:rRNA from 1 species